AGUAAAUAGAUACCCCGGUAGUCCACGCCGUAAACGAUGUCGACUUGGAGGUUGUGCCCUUGAGGCGUGGCUUCCGGAGCUAAACGCGUUAAAGUCGACCGCCUGGGGAGUACGGCCGCAAGGUUAAACUCAAAUGAAUUGACGGGGGCCCGCACAAGCGGUGGAGCAUGUGGUUUAAUUCGAUGCAACGCGAAGAACCUUACCUACUCUUGACAUCCAGAGAACUUAGCAGAGAUGCUUUGGCGCCUUCGGGAACUCUGAGACAGGUGCUGCAUGGCUGUCGUCAGCUCGUGUUGUGAAAUGUUGGGUUAAGUCCCGCAACGAGCGCAACCCUUAUCCUUUGUUGCCAGCGGUUAGGCCGGGAACUCAAAGGAGACUGCCAGUGAUAAACUGGAGGAAGGUGGGGAUGACGUCAAGUCAUCAUGGCCCUUACGAGUAGGGCUACACACGUGCUACAAUGGCGCAUACAAAGAGAAGCGACCUCGCGAGAGCAAGCGGACCUCAUAAAGUGCGUCGUAGUCCGGAUUGGAGUCU
rnacentral:rRNA from 1 species